rnacentral:rRNA from 1 species
UACGUAGGGUGCGAGCGUUGUCCGGAAUUAUUGGGCGUAAAGGGCUCGUAGGCGGUCUGUCACGUCGGGAGUGAAAACACGGGGCUUAACCCCGUGCCUGCUUCCGAUACGGGCAGACUAGAGGUAUGCAGGGGAGAACGGAAUUCCUGGUGUAGCGGUGAAAUGCGCAGAUAUCAGGAGGAACACCGGUGGCGAAGGCGGUUCUCUGGGCAUGUCCUGACGCUGAGGAGCGAAAGCGUGGGGAGCGAACAGG